GAAGAGGAGAAGGUGGAGAAGGAGAGGAUGGAGAAAAAGGAGUGAUGGAGGAGGAGGAAGGAAGAAGGAGAGUUGGAAGAUAGGAUAAGAUGAGGAUGGAGGAAGAAGGGAGAAGGAGGGUUGGAAAAGGAGAAGGUGGAGGAUGGAGAAAAAGGAGUGAUGGAGGAGAAGGAAGGAAGGAAGGAGAGCUAGAAGACAGGAGAAGGUGAGGAUGGAGGAAGAAAAGGUAAAAGGAGGGUUGGAAGAGGAGAAGAUGGAGGAUGGAGAAAAAGGAGUGAUGGAGGAGAAGGAAGGAAGGAAGGAGAGUUGGAAGACAGGAUACAACGAGGAUGGA